rnacentral:lncRNA from 1 species
CUCAGGUACGGAACAGACGUACAAUAAAACAGCCAGUGAGAACGUAUGUAUGCAGGGCGUCAGCCUGCAGGAGGAUCUCGCACUUUUCCCAGGCUGAGACAGGUAUGUGAGAGAGCUCGCGCUCAGCGACCCCGCACAGCACAACACACCGCAGCACAGCCGGCCCCGCCGCACGGACGCCACGCUCCCCACACAGGUCGCCUGAGCAGCGCCUC